UGAAGUUUAACCUUAGAAACAUACAGUGAAUAACAGGCAUUUUCCCAUUCCUGUUCAUGUUGCCAUUUUCAAACAUCUGAUAAAUGUCAAGCCCUCUCCCUUUAAAAAACGUUUUUCCUUUUGUAUCAGGGAAAACCAAAACAAAACAGCAAAGCCCAGAAUGCCAGUGUGAACCAUGAAGGCAACUAUCCUCACCUGAGCAGAUUGCCCUGGGGAGACAGGGUAGAUACCCUACCUGGAGUUGUUCCAAGUUCUUCAAACCCAGCAUCAAAGCAACAACCCUCUGGCUUAGAGGUCUUCAGCGACUGAAAGGGGUGUAGUAGAGCUCUGCAGCUUCUGCCCACAGCUUCUGCUCAGCCAUGGUGGGAGUCGCUGCUUCCUCAAGAGUUCCCUGCUGAGAAGGUACUGUAGCCACUCUGGAUAGGAUUAUAUAUGAUACAUUCUAUCAGUCACUACUAAAAUACAGCUGCUUCUAGGAUAAAACAAACAAGUAGCUCUGAACUGGAAGAAUACAUAAUAACCUGCUUCUUGACCCUUUCCCGUCUAUGGGACUUGCAAGGCAAAAAGUAGCAAUGAAGUGGGAAAAGAUAAUCUGAUGGUUUACCUUGAACAUUCUGGUCCAGUAGAAGUUGGAAACUAAUACUAAAGAGGCCUGGUUCAAAAGGUUUUGAUUUGUCUGAUGCCAAAACAAAGUAUGUUUCUGACUGCCAUGUGAUGUUAGGGGCGCACAUUUCCUGAAAGCUUCACUUCUCACCUAGGCAAAUAAAUAAGGAUUCAAAAUAUUUUCUCCAUCCAGGAUGCACCAGAUGGCUUUAACUCAUUCAAAAAAUCUGUGCAGUUACCCUAAAAGGCAGCUUAGCC
rnacentral:lncRNA from 13 species